rnacentral:rRNA from 1 species
AGGUGCUUGCACCUUUCAAGCGAGUGGCGAACGGGUGAGUAACACGUGGAUAACCUGCCUCAAGGCUGGGGAUAACAUUUGGAAACAGAUGCUAAUACCGAAUAAAACUUAGUAUCGCAUGAUAUCAAGUUAAAAGGCGCUACGGCGUCACCUAGAGAUGGAUCCGCGGUGCAUUAGUUAGUUGGUGGGGUAAAGGCUUACCAAGACAAUGAUGCAUAGCCGAGUUGAGAGACUGAUCGGCCACAUUGGGACUGAGACACGGCCCAAACUCCUACGGGAGGCUGCAGUAGGGAAUCUUCCACAAUGGGCGCAAGCCUGAUGGAGCAACGCCGCGUGUGUGAUGAAGGCUUUCGGGUCGUAAAGCACUGUUGUAUGGGAAGAAAUGCUAAAAUAGGGAAUGAUUUUAGUUUGACGGUACCAUACCAGAAAGGGACGGCUAAAUACGUGCCAGCAGCCGCGGUAAUACGUAUGUCCCGAGCGUUAUCCGGAUUUAUUGGGCGUAAAGCGAGCGCAGACGGUUGAUUAAGUCUGAUGUGAAAGCCCGGAGCUCAACUCCGGAAUGGCAUUGGAAACUGGUUAACUUGAGUGUUGUAGAGGUAAGUGGAACUCCAUGUGUAGCGGUGGAAUGCGUAGAUAUAUGGAAGAACACCAGUGGCGAAGGCGGCUUACUGGACAACAACUGACGUUGAGGCUCGAAAGUGUGGGUAGCAAACAGGAUUAGAUACCCUGGUAGUCCACACCGUAAACGAUGAAUACUAGGUGUUAGGAGGUUUCCGCCUCUUAGUGCCGAAGCUAACGCAUUAAGUAUUCCGCCUGGGGAGUACGACCGCAAGGUUGAAACUCAAAGGAAUUGACGGGGACCCGCACAAGCGGUGGAGCAUGUGGUUUAAUUCGAAGCAACGCGAAGAACCUUACCAGGUCUUGACAUCCUUUGAAGCUUUUAGAGAUAGAAGUGUUCUCUUCGGAGACAAAGUGACAGGUGGUGCAUGGUCGUCGUCAGCUCGUGUCGUGAGAUGUUGGGUUAAGUCCCGCAACGAGCGCAACCCUUAUUGUUAGUUGCCAGCAUUCAGUUGGGCACUCUAGCGAGACUGCCGGUGACAAACCGGAGGAAGGCGGGGACGACGUCAGAUCAUCAUGCCCCUUAUGACCUGGGCUACACACGUGCUACAAUGGCGUAUACAACGAGUUGCCAACCUGCGAAGGUGAGCUAAUCUCUUAAAGUACGUCUCAGUUCGGACUGCAGUCUGCAACUCGACUGCACGAAGUCGGAAUCGCUAGUAAUCGCGGAUCAGCACGCCGCGGUGAAUACGUUCCCGGGUCUUGUACACACCGCCCGUCACACCAUGGGAGUUUGUAAUGCCCAAAGCCGGUGGCCUAACCUUCGGGAGGGAGCCGUCUAAGGCAGACAGAAAUG